rnacentral:rRNA from 1 species
UGGGGAAUAUUGCGCAAUGGGCGGAAGCCUGACGCAGCGACGCCGCGUGGGGGAUGAAGGCCUUCGGGUUGUAAACCUCUUUCACCACCGACGAAGCUCUGUGCUUACUUCGGUAAUCUCAGUUUGACGGUAGGUGGGGAAGAAGCGCCGGCUAACUACGUGCCAGCAGCCGCGGUAAUACGUAGGGCGCAAGCGUUGUCCGGAAUUAUUGGGCGUAAAGAGCUCGUAGGCGGUCUGUCGCGUCUGCCGUGAAAACCCGAGGCUUAACCUCGGGCCUGCGGUGGAUACGGGCAGACUAGAGGUAGGUAGGGGAGAAUGGAAUUCCCGGUGUAGCGGUGAAAUGCGCAGAUAUCGGGAGGAACACCGGUGGCGAAGGCGGUUCUCUGGGCCUUACCUGACGCUGAGGAGCGAAAGCGUGGGGAGCGAACAGGAUUAGAUACCCGGGUAGUCC